AUGUAAACAAACCCAGCGGCUGAAGGAUGGCGGGGAAGGGGACUCCUCUAUUUUUGCCUUUUGUCCUAUCUCCCCGAGGCGAACCCACUCAUCCCUCGGUCCUGGUCUUGGAGUCCUCUUCAUCUUCGUCGUUGAUGGUGGCAGCGCAGCCUUGGACUCGGCACACCCCCACAUCACAGAAGGAGGGACAAACAGGUCCACUCUGGAUGUUGUGUGAGGAGACCCGGGAAGACCCACUCACCACCGCCACAGGAGAGUGACGUCAUACCAUACUACAGUCUUUCAUCAACCAGUAGCUGCAGCGUCAACCUCAAGAGAAGAGAAGGGUUGAGUCAGCUUGUGGUUCUGGUAUUUGAGAGUGAAGACAGCCCCUUCCUCAGUGCCUUCAUCCCCACCCUCCCUGGCAGCGACACCUCUCCACUUGCUGCUGUCAGAUGUAGAUGGCAUCCGCUAAUUGGGACAUCUAUCGUCUCAUUACAGAUAGUGUAGCAAGGCAGCAUUAAUGCCAAGCCUGGUGAGCAGUGUCAGGCAGAAGAAAAGUCACAUGCCCCCCUUGGGCAUGUGUGCUGAGAGUCAGUGUGGUGUCAAGAAUGCAGUGCAUAACCAUUUCACAUCCUCCUGGUGUGAACAUGCCUUGACAGCAUCACAAAUCAUGGACUCUCCAAACAGUCACAACAGUGAGGAGCUCCUCCUCAGCUGCUAAAUAAGCAGCAGUGUCAGCAAGCCCCACCCAGAGAGUAGCUUAUAUAUAUACCCCAGUAGUCUUAAACUCUUGUAGGAGCAAGAGUGAUUUUUCAAAUUUUACUUUAAGUGUAGAAGCGGGUCUUAA